GUGCUAACGUCCGUCGUGGAGAGGGAAACAACCCAGACCGCCAGCUAAGGUCCCCAAGUACUAGUUAAGUGGGAAACGAUGUGGGAAGGCAUAGACAGCCAGGAGGUUGGCUUAGAAGCAGCCACCCUUUAAAGAAAGCGUAAUAGCUCACUGGUCGAGUCGGCCUGCGCGGAAGAUGUAACGGGGCUAAAACUAGUCACCGAAGCUGCGGAUGUGCGCGAAGGCGCACGUGGUAGGGGAGCGUUCUGUAGGCUGAUGAAGGUGCAUUGAGAGGUGUGCUGGAGGUAUCAGAAGUGCGAAUGCUGACAUGAGUAACGAUAAUGUGGGUGAAAAGCCCACACGCCGGAAGUCCCAGGUUUCCUGCACGACGUUAAUCGGAGCAGGGUGAGUCGGCCCCUAAGGCGAGGCUGAAGAGCGUAGUCGAUGGGAACCAGGUUAAUAUUCCUGGACUUUUUAUAAGUGGUGAAGUGGGGACGAAGAAGGCUAGGUGAGCCAGGCGUUGGUUGUCCUGGUACUUGCAUGUAGGGGGGAAGACUUGGCAAAUCCGGUUUUCCGAUACUCUGAGGUGCGAAGUGGUUCUGACCUUUUGGUACAGAGAAGUCAUUGAUGCCCGGCUUCCAGGAAAAGCUGCUAGCCAUAACUUAUAGAGAACCGUACCGCAAACCGACACAGGUGGACAGGUAGAGAAUACUAAGGCGCUUGAGAGAACUCGGGUGAAGGAACUAGGCAAAAUGGUACCGUAACUUCGGGAGAAGGUACGCCCUUUCUGGUGAUGGGAUUUACUUUCAGAGCUGGAGAGGGCCGCAGAGACCAGGUGGCUGCGACUGUUUAUUAAAAACACAGCACUCUGCAAAUUCGUAAGAAGACGUAUAGGGUGUGACGCCUGCCCGGUGCCGGAAGGUUAAUUGAUGGGGUUAUCUUCGGAGAAGCUCUUGAUCGAAGCCCCGGUAAACGGCGGCCGUAACUAUAACGGUCCUAAGGUAGCGAAAUUCCUUGUCGGGUAAGUUCCGACCUGCACGAAUGGCGUAACGAUGGCCACACUGUCUCCACCCGAGACUCAGUGAAAUUGAAAUCGCUGUGAAGAUGCAGUGUACCCGCGGCUAGACGGAAAGACCCCGUGAACCUUUACUAUAGUUUUGCACUGGACUUUGAUGAUGACUGUGUAGGAUAGGUGGGAGGCUGUGAAGUGAGGACGCUAGUUCUCAUGGAGCCGCCCUUGAAAUACCACCCUGUUGUUAUUGAGGUUCUAACUUGGUCCAGUAAUCCUGGAUGAGGACAGUGUAUGAUGGGUAGUUUGACUGGGGCGGUCUCCUCCCAAAGAGUAACGGAGGAGCACAAAGGUACCCUCGGUACGGUCGGACAUCGUACCAAGAGUGUAAAGGCAAAAGGGUGCUUGACUGCGAGAGUGACGGCUCGAGCAGGAACGAAAGUUGGUCUUAGUGAUCCGGUGGUUCUGAAUGGAAGGGCCAUCGCUCAACGGAUAAAAGGUACUCCGGGGAUAACAGGCUGAUACCGCCCAAGAGUUCAUAUCGACGGCGGUGUUUGGCACCUCGAUGUCGGCUCAUCACAUCCUGGGGCUGAAGCAGGUCCCAAGGGUAUGGCUGUUCGCCAUUUAAAGUGGUACGCGAGCUGGGUUUAGAACGUCGUGAGACAGUUCGGUCCCUAUCUGCCGUGGGCGUAGGAAAAUUGAGAGGAGCUGCUCCUAGUACGAGAGGACCGGAGUGGACGAACCUCUGGUGCACCGGUUGUCACGCCAGUGGCAUGGCCGGGUAGCUAAGUUCGGACGGGAUAACCGCUGAAAGCAUCUAAGCGGGAAGCCUCCCUCAAGAUGAGUUUUCCCAUGAAGCCCGUUGAAGACUACGACGUUGAUAGGCAAGGUGUGGAAGCGCAGUAAUGUGUGAAGCUAACUUGUACUAAUUGGCUGAUUGUCUUGACCAU
rnacentral:rRNA from 1 species